AUGUGUAACGAAUGCAGUCAGGCUUCUGCUGUCUGGAUGGAGAGGAACCUGGAGAGCAGCAGGGUUUUUGUACGGCCACUAAACCUGUUUGUAUCACUGUGGCACCCUUUUGGUGGAGGAACCAAACUGUCUGUGGGCCGUCUCACCCGGCCCAGUGUGACGGUGCUGCCCCCCUCCAGUGUGGAGCUGCAGCAGGAGAAGGUCACACUCGUGUGUGUGGCCAACAAGGGCUUCCCCUCGGACUGGAGGCUGACCUGGAAGGUUAAUGGGAACAGCUGGACCUCGGGGGAGAGUCACAGUGCUGAUGUUCUGCACACAGACGGCCUCUACAGCUGGAGCAGCACGCUAAGCCUCCGCUCGGAGCAGUGCAGGAACAAGCUGGUGACCUGUGAGGCCUUCAAGGAGAACCAACCUACUGUGGUGAGCACAGUGAACAUAGAGCAGUGCUCAGAGCUGUGAGCUCACACACACUUUACUCAGCUUACAUUCUACUGCUUCACUGUGUGUUACAUCUGGUCAUUAAUACCAAACUUUGUGUUAAGUGUGUGUCACUAGAAUGUUCUGCUUUCGAUUAAUAAUAAAAGCUUUUAA